rnacentral:rRNA from 1 species
UACGUAGGGUGCAAGCGUUGUCCGUAAUUAUUGGGCGUAAAGAGCUCGUAGGUGGUUUGUCGCGUUGUCCGUGAAAACUCACAACUCAAUUGUGGGCGUGCGGGCGAUACGGGCAGACUGGAGUACUGCAGGGGAGACUGGAAUUCCUGGUGUAGCGGUGGAAUGCGCAGAUAUCAGGAGGAACACCGGUGGCGAAGGCGGGUCUCUGGGCAGUAACUGACGCUGAGGAGCGAAAGCGUGGGGAGCGAACAGG